rnacentral:rRNA from 1 species
GAGGGCCUACGGGGGGCAGCAGUGGGGAAUAUUGGGCAAUGGGCGCAAGCCUGACCCAGCAACGCCGCGUGAAGGAAGAAGGCUUUCGGGUUGUAAACUUCUUUUCUCAGGGACGAAGAAAGUGACGGUACCUGAGGAAUAAGCCACGGCUAACUACGUGCCAGCAGCCGCGGUAAUACGUAGGUGGCAAGCGUUAUCCGGAUUUAUUGGGUUUAAAGGGUGCGCAGGCGGCGUGUCAAGUCAGCGGUAAAAUGUCGGGGCUCAACCCCGGCCGGCCGUUGAAACUGGCGUGCUCGAGUUGGAGG